rnacentral:rRNA from 1 species
AGAGUUUGAUCAUGGCUCAGAUUGAACGCUGGCGGCAUGCUUUACACAUGCAAGUCGAACGGCAGCACAGGGAGCUUGCUCCCGGGUGGCGAGUGGCGCACGGGUGAGUAAUACAUCGGAACGUGUCCUGUUGUGGGGGAUAACUGCUCGAAAGGGUGGCUAAUACCGCAUGAGACCUGAGGGUGAAAGCGGGGGAUCGCAAGACCUCGCGCAAUUGGAGCGGCCGAUGCCCGAUUAGCUAGUUGGUGAGGUAAAGGCUCACCAAGGCGACGAUCGGUAGCUGGUCUCGAGAGGACGACCAGCCACACUGGGACUGAGACGACGCCCAGACUCCUACGGGAGGCA